rnacentral:SRP_RNA from 2 species
GCCAGGCAUGGUGGUGCGUGCCUGUAAUCCCAGCUACUUGGGAGGCUGAGGCAGGAGAAUGACUUGAACCCGGGAGGCAGAGGUUGCAGGGAUGUGAGAUCACGCCUCUGCACUCCAGCCUGGGUGACAGAGUGAGACUCUGUCUCAA